rnacentral:lncRNA from 1 species
CAAGAGUAAUGUCAGCCAGCCUGCUGUUGGAAAGUUAUCCUUGUCCCCUUCUGUGUCCCCCUCCUCCCAGAAUCUAGCAGCUACAGGGAGGUGUUGGGCAUUGGAGCUCACAGUCUUCCUUCCUCUGCUUCCAUCCUUCUCCCAGAUCCCGUCUCAGUCCUGAUGACCUGAGUCCAGAGUGGUCCCUCCCUCACCUUGACCACUCAGCCUCCUCAGCAACAGCUUUGUCCACUUGACCACAUUUACUGUGUAUUUUCCCAGACCUGGACCAUUCGGAACUGCUCUGCUUCUGAUUUCUGCCAUCUGACCACAAUUUCCUACCCUCCCACUCUUGCGCAUCUUCAUCCCACGACCCCUGCUCUUUCACGCUGUAGAGCGUCCCACACUCUUGAGUCCUUCUGCUUCUCAUUUACAGCAGCCCUUCCAUGAUCUCCAUCUUUUCACUCUGGCAGCCUAGACUCUGAGUUCCACCACUUCAAACACUUUCAGUGCCUAUCUCUUCCCUUUUAGCCUCUGCGUCCAUCACAAACUCAGGGAUCAGUCACUGCCUCGCCCCUUGCUCCAUGCAUUCUUCACCAGCUCCUUCAGGCCACGUCAUGGUGUCAUGUAUAUGGAUAUGAGCUCAGAUUUCCUCCAUGUUAAUCACAAGCCUUUAUCUCAGUUCGGUCUCUCUCUUUAAGCCUCUGAAACAUGGACAUUCUGUGCCAAUCCAAAAAUUUAUUCUGGCUAAAAUCAACAAUGACUUCUUAAUUGACAAAUCUCAUGGACGCUUACUGUUUUAAAUUAUGAAAUAUAUCAAACAUUUUGAAGAAUACAGAUAACAGUAGGUAUUGUUUAUUGUUAUCAGAUGCAGCAAAUGCUAUGUUUGCUUAGAGUAUUUAAAGUUUUUAUUUGUUUAUUUGUUACAUAGAUGUGUUUGAAAAACUUUUUAUUCAUCCUUCAUCUAUUUCCUUCCCUCCAUGGCAAGUUAUUUGAUAUUAUGAAGUUGGCAUUUAUUCGAUACGUAGUGUUAUCUUAUGUGUUUUAAAAAUUUGCAUAAAUGGUAAUGCUUAUGAUCCAUAUUAAUACAAUGAUAUCUUUAUUUUAAUUUCUCUAAAGUGAUCUGUUUUAUGAACACACUGCCAUUUAUUUAUCGUUUCUUCUAUGGAUGUUCAGAUUGUUUCUAAUUGUUCAAUAUUCAAGCAAUGCAAUAAAAAUCAAUACUAAUUCUUCUAACAAUAUUCACAAGUCUUCCAGUAUCUGCACCUUUACUACACCUUAUUCUCCAAAGCGGUGUACCAAUUUACACAACCAUUAGAAACAUGGGGAUUUCUCUUUUCUUGCAUACUUGCCAAAACUUGGAAUUUAAACACUUUAAAAUCUUGCUAAUAUGGGUAUGAACUAUUAUCUCUCCUCAAUUUACAAUGACUUCAUUAUUAGAGGGUGUGAGUGUCUUUUUGUGCAUUUCCUGUCGAUAUUCUUUAUCUACUUUUCUAUUAAGUACGUUUCUUUCUACGUCAUGACUACUAAUCUUUGAUUGCACUGGAGUAUUGCUCUUUCUCUUCAAAAAUAUUUUAUCUAUGAUUCACAUGCAUAUAAAUACAGGAAUGUUUCAAAUCAUGACCUUACAAUGCUAUCUUGACUAGAAGUUCUGCAUGUGUUUUCUACUUCAUGUUUCAAAUAACUUUCAAUCAUACUUACACAGAAAAGUGUCAGGAAAAAAAAAUAUUGCCCAUCUCUGGAGUAAUCACUGAUAAUGUUCUGACAUAUUCUUGCCUAUUUUUUCUUUCAGGGUAUGGUUGUCUUUAUUUAUGAGAGACUUCUUUUUCACUCCAUUUACUGACUGAGGCUCAUGGACAUGUUUUCUUUUGUUUUAGUGACUUCCUACUUAAACAGGUUUUAUCAGCAAGGGAAGGCAGCUUUUUGGAAGGCAGAUGCAUAGUGAUGGCUUAUUUUGAUUCCCUCAUUGAUUCUUUGUGCCCCCACAUGGGAGGAGAGGUGCUGAGUCCCUGGAUGUCCUGGGCUGUGUGACUCUCAUCUUUCUUAGUUUGACUGGAUAUAACAAAAACUCAAAAUGUUGUUCCAGAAAGUGUCAUAGAGAGUGGCUAGAGCUUUCCAUUGUGUCUUCUUUGAGGACUUUACUUACUAAGAGAAUCUGGCUAAAAACACGCUUGCAUUUAAGACACAAAGGCAGCCUUUUAAGCAUCUCUUCAGAUUCAGAGAUUUUGUAUCCUACAAGUAAAAAUACAUGAAGAUAUAAGCCAAGAAACAUCUUCCCAAAUAUGAAAAACAUCGCCGCCAUCUCAAGUUCAAGUUCUUGAAUUUGUUUUGUUAAAAUUGAAUUUUUAAAGACUGAAUGACUCAAAUAAUUUAAAACCUUAUACUCUUUUUCAGUAAGAGAAGUAAGAUGUUAUUCUGUUAGAAUGGUUGUCCUGUGAAUGAGUGGACCAGGUCUUAGAGUAUGUGAGGAACAUGAAAAUCUUCCUUCAGCAGUAGCCCUCUUUCUGUCAAAGAUGCUUUGUUAGCUGGUCCUAUGGGAAACUGGUCCACCAGCCUCUUCUGUUGACAUAGUCUUCUCUUGUCCCAGGAAUCUGGGUUUCAGGAAUAUGUUGAACUGAUUCUAGAAAGAUUUGAAAGCUCUUUGUAGCCCAGGGCUUCUAGGACAAGGUUUGCUUUUUUUUUUUUCCAUUUUUUAAUUAUGACUGAAACAAGGAACUUAAGUAAUUCCUUGAAAAUGGAAAUUGAUUUGAAGUCUGUAUGUCAAUUGUCUUAUUUCACCUUAUUUGUAAGGUCCCCAUAAAUACCCACCUCAGGGAGUUCCCAUUGUGGAGCCGUGGAAAUUAAUCCAACUAGUACCCACGAGGACAUGGAUUUGAUCCCUGGCCUUGCUCAGUGGGUCAGGGAUCUGGCUUUGCUGUGAGCUGUGGUGUCAGUUGCAGAUAUGGCUCAGAUCUGGCGUUGCUAUGGCUGUGGCGUAGGCCGGCAGCUGUAGCUCCAAUUAGACCCCUAGCCUGGGAACCUCCAUAUGCCAUGGUGUGGCCUUAAAAAGAUAGGGAAAAAAAUUUACCCACCCCAGUGGUUACUUGCCUACUGUGAUCUUGGACCUUUAUCACCACUCCCCAGGCAGUGUAGCUGAGUCAAGAGAGAAAAUUUUGGAAGAACACCUAGAUGCUGAAUUGUUCUCUCCAACUUAUUUUAGCUACUGAUUGUCAUCUCACUGACAUUUUACUUUAUUUUAUUUGAUUUUACUUUAUUUAUUUUUGCUUUUUAGGGCCUCAUUUACAGCAUACAGGAGUUCCCAGGCUAGGAGUUGAAUUGGAGCUACAGCUGAGGCCUUCACCACAGCCACAGAAACAUGGGAUCUGAGCACAAUCUGUGACCUAUGCUGCUGCUUGUGGCAACACCAGAUCCUUAACCCACUGAACGGGGCUAGGGAUUGAACUCGUAUCCUCAUGGGUACUCUUCAGGUUCUUAACCCGCUGAGCCACAACAGGAACUCGUGACUGGAAUUUUAUAUGGAAAUCAAUAAUUGUGUUUCAGAAAAUCUACUUUUGACCCUUUAGAGACAUUGACUGAGCUUCCAAGGCAGCAAAGCUGAGUCUGAUUUGGAGCUCACUUUUCAAAAGAAUCUGUUCACACAUUGAGCUUUUUUUUUUUUCUUUUAAAA